rnacentral:rRNA from 2 species
UUAAUUUGAGAGUUUGAUCCUGGCUCAGGACGAACGCUGGCGGCGUGCCUAAUACAUGCAAGUCGAACGAACUCUGGUAUUGAUUGGUGCUUGCAUCAUGAUUUACAUUUGAGUGAGUGGCGAACUGGUGAGUAACACGUGGGAAACCUGCCCAGAAGCGGGGGAUAACACCUGGAAACAGAUGCUAAUACCGCAUAACAACUUGGACCGCAUGGUCCGAGUUUGAAAGAUGGCUUCGGCUAUCACUUUUGGAUGGUCCCGCGGCGUAUUAGCUAGAUGGUGGGGUAACGGCUCACCAUGGCAAUGAUACGUAGCCGACCUGAGAGGGUAAUCGGCCACAUUGGGACUGAGACACGGCCCAAACUCCUACGGGAGGCAGCAGUAGGGAAUCUUCCACAAUGGACGAAAGUCUGAUGGAGCAACGCCGCGUGAGUGAAGAAGGGUUUCGGCUCGUAAAACUCUGUUGUUAAAGAAGAACAUAUCUGAGAGUAACUGUUCAGGUAUUGACGGUAUUUAACCAGAAAGCCACGGCUAACUACGUGCCAGCAGCCGCGGUAAUACGUAGGUGGCAAGCGUUGUCCGGAUUUAUUGGGCGUAAAGCGAGCGCAGGCGGUUUUUUAAGUCUGAUGUGAAAGCCUUCGGCUCAACCGAAGAAGUGCAUCGGAAACUGGGAAACUUGAGUGCAGAAGAGGACAGUGGAACUCCAUGUGUAGCGGUGAAAUGCGUAGAUAUAUGGAAGAACACCAGUGGCGAAGGCGGCUGUCUGGUCUGUAACUGACGCUGAGGCUCGAAAGUAUGGGUAGCAAACAGGAUUAGAUACCCUGGUAGUCCAUACCGUAAACGAUGAAUGCUAAGUGUUGGAGGGUUUCCGCCCUUCAGUGCUGCAGCUAACGCAUUAAGCAUUCCGCCUGGGGAGUACGGCCGCAAGGCUGAAACUCAAAGGAAUUGACGGGGGCCCGCACAAGCGGUGGAGCAUGUGGUUUAAUUCGAAGCUACGCGAAGAACCUUACCAGGUCUUGACAUACUAUGCAAAUCUAAGAGAUUAGACGUUCCCUUCGGGGACAUGGAUACAGGUGGUGCAUGGUUGUCGUCAGCUCGUGUCGUGAGAUGUUGGGUUAAGUCCCGCAACGAGCGCAACCCUUAUUAUCAGUUGCCAGCAUUAAGUUGGGCACUCUGGUGAGACUGCCGGUGACAAACCGGAGGAAGGUGGGGAUGACGUCAAAUCAUCAUGCCCCUUAUGACCUGGGCUACACACGUGCUACAAUGGAUGGUACAACGAGUUGCGAACUCGCGAGGGUAAGCUAAUCUCUUAAAGCCAUUCUCAGUUCGGAUUGUAGGCUGCAACUCGCCUACAUGAAGUCGGAAUCGCUAGUAAUCGCGGAUCAGCAUGCCGCGGUGAAUACGUUCCCGGGCCUUGUACACACCGCCCGUCACACCAUGAGAGUUUGUAACACCCAAAGUCGGUGGGGUAACCUUUUAGGAACCAGCCGCCUAAGGUGGGACAGAUGAUUAGGGUGAAGUCGUAACAAGGUAGCCGUAGGAGAACCUGCGGCUGGAUCACCUCCUUUCUAAGGAA